GUUGGCCCCACCCCAAUAUCCACCUCAUCUAUGAACUGCUGGAGCUUGUAAAGGGGAUGAACCUACAGUUCCAAAGUAGCAGGAUCUCUAUGACACAGGGCAACCAGGAUAUCCAAGAGGAGCCCCAGUGAAAGCCCAUUAUCAGUGGCGUAUCAGAAUCCAGAGACCUCCAGCCGGAACAACGACUCCUGGCAAUGAACACUUAGAAGAUGAACAGACUAACGGGUUAACUCUGGUCCUUUGGCACAUUCUCGAAUGGUUCCUGUCUCUGCUUCCCUGAUUUAAUUCGACUCACCUGGAGGUGCCUGUGGGCCCAUGUGCAUAUGAAGAACAUCUUCAGGCUUACCACCCGCAGGAUGGGUCCAGGGUUGAGUCCUUGACUAUGAAGUCAUCUUUGAUCCUCAACUGAAACAGUCCACACCAGUAGCUGCCCUUUGGAGAAGACAGGGAUGGAACAGCAUGAGCAGAGAAAAUGCGAGACGCGUGUUGUGCUGUAUGCAGGUUGCCCUUUCAUCGACAGCCUGGCUCACUGGGGCAGAUAUUCCUGUAUGGAAGAUUUUGAAGAUCUGUGUGGUCUGUUCAGAUUCCAUUGGGUUGAUCUUGGCUCUGCCCAGGGCUAAUGUGGCUCUGAUAAGGAGUCCCUUUGCUGAGUUGUUUCAGAUUCUAAGAAGCUGGGAGAAUUACUGGGUUCAACUUGAUUCUCCAAGAGCACAGGGCCAUGUCUUGUCUGGUUCUAAGAUUCCCAUGAGACUUUUGAACAGUGUGAUUCCCCAUCAACUAACAUUAUUAUUAAUCACACAUCUCUUAACCCUUGAAUGAUGCCAAAUGCUUUAGAAGGAGGCUGUGUAUUCAGCACACUCACUGUGGGACACUGAUACUCUCCAGAGAAUUGAAGAUGUAAUCAAAACUGUUGCAAGGAGAUUAAACCAACUCUCUAUAUGUCAUUAUAAACUACAAUUAAAUAGAUAGGACUAUGGCCAUCUGCUAUUCACUAAGGAUCUGUUUUUCAUAAGCAUUUUAAUAAAAUCACUUCAUUUCUGUGAAA